AUCGGGAUAGGACUAAGACAUGCUAGUCGCGUGCUUCAGCCAAAACGAGGCACGGCACACAGCUCAGUAACACGUGGCUAAUCUGCCCUUGGGAUAGGAGUACCCCCGGGAAACUGGGGCUAAUUCCCAAUAGGUGAAGAACUCUGGAAUGAGUCUCCACCAGAAAAGAGCUUACGUUAUGCUCGUAAGUUUCGCCCAAGGAUGAGGCCGCGACCGAUCAGGUUGUUGGCGAGGUAAUGGCUCACCAAGCCUUUUACCGGUGCGGGCCGUGGGAGCGGGAGCCCGGAGAUGGGUACUGAGACAAGGACCCAGGCCCUACGGGGCGCAGCAGUCGCGAAAACUUUGCAAUAAGCGCAAGCUUGACAGGGCUAUCCCGAGUGCCAUCCGCUGAGGAAGGCUUUUACCCAGUCUAGAACGCUGGGGGAAUAAGGAGAGGGCAAGUCUGGUGUCAGCCGCCGUGGUAAUACCAGCUCUCCGAGUGGUGUGGAUGUUUAUUGGGCCUAAAGCAUCCGUAGCUGGCUAAGUUAGUCCCCUGUUAAAUCCACCGAAUUAAUCGUUGGAUCGCGGGGGAUACUGCUUGGCUAGGGGACGAGAGAGGCAGACGGUAUUUUCGGGGUAGGGGGUGAAAUCCUAUAAUCCCGGGAAGACCACCAGUGGCGAAGGCUGUCUGCUAGAACGCGCCCGACGGUGAGGGAUGAAAGCUGGGGGAGCGAACCGGAUUAGAUACCCGGGUAGUCCCAGCUGUAAACGAUGCAGACUAGGUGUUUGGACGGCCACGUGCCGUUCUAGUGCCGCAGGGAAGCUGUUAAGUCUGCCGCCUGGGGAGUACGAUCGCAAGAUUGAAACUUAAAGGAAUUGGC
rnacentral:rRNA from 1 species